UCUGAACCUUCGGGGAACGAUAACGGCGUCGAGCGGCGGACGGGUGAGUAAUGCCUAGGAAAUUGCCCUGAUGUGGGGGAUAACCAUUGGAAACGAUGGCUAAUACCGCAUAAUGCCUACGGGCCAAAGAGGGGGACCUUCGGGCCUCUCGCGUCAGGAUAUGCCUAGGUGGGAUUAGCUAGUUGGUGAGGUAAGGGCUCACCAAGGCGACGAUCCCUAGCUGGUCUGAGAGGAUGAUCAGCCACACUGGAACUGAGACACGGUCCAGACUCCUACGGGAGGCAGCAGUGGGGAAUAUUGCACAAUGGGCGCAAGCCUGAUGCAGCCAUGCCGCGUGUGUGAAGAAGGCCUUCGGGUUGUAAAGCACUUUCAGUCGUGAGGAAGGUAGUGUAGUUAAUAGCUGCAUUAUUUGACGUUAGCGACAGAAGAAGCACCGGCUAACUCCGUGCCAGCAGCCGCGGUAAUACGGAGGGUGCGAGCGUUAAUCGGAAUUACUGGGCGUAAAGCGCAUGCAGGUGGUUUGUUAAGUCAGAUGUGAAAGCCCGGGGCUCAACCUCGGAAUUGCAUUUGAAACUGGCAGACUAGAGUACUGUAGAGGGGG
rnacentral:rRNA from 1 species